GAUCUUGGUUCAGGAUGAACGCUAGCUACAGGCUUAACACAUGCAAGUCGAGGGGCAGCAUUGGAGUAGCAAUACUCAGAUGGCGACCGGCGCACGGGUGAGUAACACGUAUCCAACCUGCCGCUUACUCGGGGAUAGCCUUUCGAAAGAAAGAUUAAUACCCGAUGGUAUAAAGAGUUCGCAUGUUCUCUUUAUUAAAGAAUUUCGGUAAGCGAUGGGGAUGCGUUCCAUUAGAUAGUUGGCGGGGUAACGGCCCACCAAGUCUACGAUGGAUAGGGGUUCUGAGAGGAAGGUCCCCCACAUUGGAACUGAGACACGGUCCAAACUCCUACGGGAGGCAGCAGUGAGGAAUAUUGGUCAAUGGACGAGAGUCUGAACCAGCCAAAGUAGCGUGAAGGAUGACUGCCCUAUGGGUUGUAAACUUCUUUUAUAAGGGAAUAAAGUGAGGGACGUGUCCCUUUUUGUAUGUACCUUAUGAAUAAGGAUCGGCUAACUCCGUGCCAGCCGCCGC
rnacentral:rRNA from 1 species